CCCUUAGAUGUUCUGGGCCGCACGCGCGCUACAAUGAUGCAGACAACGAGCCUAUCCUUGACCGACAGGUCCGGGUAAUCUUUGAAUCUGCAUCGUGACGGGGAUAGAUUAUUGCAAUUAUUAAUCUUCAACGAGGAAUGCCUAGUAGGCGCAAGUCAUCAGCUUGCGUCGAUUACGUCCCUGCCCUUUGUACACACCGCCCGUCGCUCCUACCGAUUGGGUGUGCUGGUGAAAUGUUCGGAUCGGCCGUUUGUCGCGGUUUCCGCGUCAUGUGGCUGAGAAGUUCAUUAAACCCUCCCACCUAGAGGAAGGAGAAGUCGUAACA
rnacentral:rRNA from 1 species